rnacentral:rRNA from 1 species
UACGUAGGGUGCAAGCGUUAAUCGGAAUUACUGGGCGUAAAGCGUGCGCAGGCGGUUAUGCAAGACAGAUGUGAAAUCCCCGGGCUCAACCUGGGAACUGCAUUUGUGACUGCAUAGCUAGAGUACGGUAGAGGGGGAUGGAAUUCCGCGUGUAGCAGUGAAAUGCGUAGAUAUGCGGAGGAACACCGAUGGCGAAGGCAAUCCCCUGGACCUGUACUGACGCUCAUGCACGGAAGCGUGGGGAGCAAACAGG